rnacentral:misc_RNA from 1 species
GAUGAAGAACGCAGCGAAAUGCGAUAAGUAAUGUGAAUUGCAGAAUUCAGUGAAUCAUCGAAUCUUUGAACCCACAUUGCGCCCCCUGGUAUUCCGGGGGGCAUGCCUGUUCGAGCGUCAUUACAACCCUCAAGCUCUGCUUGGUGUUGGGCCCCGCCGCCCCGGCGGGCCCUAAAAUCAGUGGCGGUGCCGUCCGGCUCCGAGCGUAGUAAUUCUUCUCGCUCUGGAGGUCCGGGUGUGUGCUCGCCAGCAACCCCCAAUUUUUUUCAGGUUGACCUCGGAUCAGGUAGGGAUACCCGCUGAACUUAAGCAUAUCAAUAAGCGGAGGA